CCUGUCUAUGUCUAUCACAGAGACGUUCUUUUUACCUUUACACCCCCAUCCUACUUCCCUUUCACCUGCAUCCCCAGCUUACUCCUUUACUACGUAUCCUUUGAACUGCAGUCGAUUCACCAUGAUCUUGGCUGGCUGUCUUCUUCCUUCAUGGCUGCUAGUAAUGACAAUUCAGUGGCUGUUUCUUCAGCUGUGCAAAGUUGGAACAUGUUUGGGAGUUCAACGGCAUUGGUUUCUGGUUGGUGCAAGCGGUCUUCUCUGUCUUCUUUAUGGCCAGUAAAAUUCUCCAGAAGAGAUUUAUGGCAGCCUCACUCCCAGUAGUUUCUGCAUUUAGUGAGAUAAGGAAUGGAUUUUCUUCUGUGUAUUGCUGACACGAACAGGAGACGGAAAUACUGAGUAGAAGAGGGCGGUUCCCUGGCUAAGGCCCCACCCUCAAGCCUGGAUACCCGCGGCCCUAAAUGAGAAGAGGCGUUUCUGUUUGGGGCCCAAAAAGUUGCUUUUUGACCCACCACGCCCCCUAUCCUGCCCCCAUAUAAACCCCAAACCCCAACCUCCAGAGCAUACCAGCAGGUGAGGAGAUACGAGGCAAGCCGACUGACGGCAAAACGACGUAGCAGAGAAAGAGAGAAGAGGAGGGACGUCUGGACACCGAGAGAUGUUUGGCUCGGGGCAGUCAGAGCGGAGUCCAGCCCCUGGGCGGCCCAACUCCAGGGGAAGAUCACCUUCCCACUUCAUCCAUCCCCACCCUUCCAGCUCCCCAUCCAUCCUGCUGAAAGCCAUUUCCACCACUCAAUAAAACCUCGCAUUCAUCCUUCAAGUCCGUGUGUGACCCGAUUUUUCCUGGAUUCUGGAAAAGAGCUCGGAAUACAGAAAGCUGUCCCCUGGUCCUUUGCCCUUGUGAAAAAGCAGAAGGUCCAUUGAGCUGGUUAACACUCCAGCUGUCUGUGGUGGCCAAGCUGAAAGAGCUUUGUAACACUGGGGUUGCAGGCACCCACCUCUAGACGCUACCGCAGAGCCAGAGCCCAAAGCCCUCACCCCGGCCUCUGCACUUGCCCAUCUGCGUGCUCCCCCUCUCGCAAGGGGUUUCUGCAGAGGGGGCUACUGAACAGAUGGAAUCUUGCUCUCUUGCUCAGACUGGAGUGCAGUGGCAUGACCUUGGCUCACUGCAACCUCACCUCUCGGGUUCAAGCGAUUCUGCCUCAGCCUCUCGAGUAGCUGGGACUACAGGUGGGAGACCUCCACAGAACCCUUCCAGCAAGCUGUCUUCUAAAGCAAACAAGAAAAGGAAAGUCUGAGCAGUUUUGAUUAGAUUUCCCAGAAGUCAAAGCAAGGAAAAAUGAAAAAGCUUCAUUUCUCACGUUCUUAAAAGAGAGCACAGAUGUUGCAUCAUCUGGUUAGAUACCCUGAGAAUAAAAUCUGGAUCCAGUGAGAGGAAAGAUUCUGGGUGCUCAUGAAAAAAGAAACAAAACAAAACUUGGGAGCCUCUUGAGAGUGUACAGCAUCAGCCCUUGCCAACUCUUGUUUAUAUGCAUUUAACUUUCAGUUAACCAUGGGAAUAAUUCAUGAAAAUCCAAUCUACAAACAAAGGCCAUCCUAACGUUCAUGUUAUUCUUUUCCCUAAGAAUCUUUCACAAGAGCUAUAAUCAAGUAGAAUUAUGCUUUGAUUUGAAUUCUAAUUCAAUUGAAAAUAAAAAAUGAGGGCCGGACGCGGUGGCUCAUGCCUGUAAUCCCAGCGCUUUGGGAGGCUGAGGUGGACGGAUCACGAGGUCAGGAGAUCGAGACCAUCCUGGCUAACACGGUGAAACCCGAUCCCUACUAAAAAUACAAAAAAUUAGCCGGGCGUGGUGGCAGG
rnacentral:lncRNA from 10 species